GAUGAACGCUAGCUACAGGCUUAACACAUGCAAGUCGAGGGACCGGCGCACGGGUGAGUAACACGUAUCCACCCUGCCCUUUACUCGGGGAUAGCCUUUCGCAAGACAGAUUAAUACCCGAUGUAACGGAUGGGUAUGCGUUCCAUUAGGUUGUUGUUGAGGGAACAGCUCACCAAGCCUUCGAUGGAUAGGGGUUCGGAGAGGCAGGUCCCCGACAAUGGAGCUGAGACACGGUCCAAAAUCCUACGGAAUGCAGCAGUGAGGAAUAUUGGUGAAGGGGCGUUAGCCUGAACAAGCCAAGUAGCGUGAAGGAUGAAGGCUUAUUGGUCGUAAACUUCUUUUAUAUAAGAAUAUGUAUUAUAUGAAUAAGGAUCGGCUAACUCCGUGCCAGCAGCCGCGGUAAUAC
rnacentral:rRNA from 1 species